CCAGGCCCGGGGUGCAGCCGCCAGCCGGUGCUGGGACGAGGCAGGGAGGCUGAUGCCAGAGCGAACGGGGGCUGCUGCCGGCUGGGUCGGGCUGUCUUCUGUAGCAGCAGCGACUCCACAGCAAACACACUCCAGCUGCUGAAAUUUUUAAGAAGGUUGGGUGGGGAGCAAUUGGGUGGUGUAGACGUCACCGCUCUUGCGAGCAUAGAGGUUUCCUGCUGACCUGGGACUGUGUGCGCCCGGCCACGGAGGGGAAGGAACUGGAGGGGAAGGCAUUGCGGGCUCGGGCUCGGGAGAGCCGCAGGGCUCCCUGGGAUCCCGAGGGAGCGAUGGAGAGCGAGAAAUCCUGACCGUCGGAGCCCAUCUUCCAUGGCACGACGGUGAAGUUCAGACCGGAACUGUGAAAAGCACAGCGCCACAUCAAACCGCUGGGUACCACCCCUGUCCCGGAAUGCUGUGAUGCAAAGAACAUGCCCUGACUAGCCUGCUGAUCCAAAGACAAUGAGAUAUAUGUGGAGCAGACUUGGACCCAACACGUGGCUCUGGAGAAAUAGGAUCAUUCGCCCAGCAGUCUGCUUUGGAGUGAGGCAAACCUACCAAGAUUAGAUUAAAGACUUCUCUGCUUCCUUGUUGGUCAUGAGUACUGAGCAAAGUCUAUUCUGCUUAUCUACAACACCCUAAUCAGCC